AGAGUGUUUAAAGCAAGCUAACGCUUGAAUACAUUAGCAUGGAAUAAUGAAAUAGGACGUUCGAUCUUAUUUUGUUGGUUUCUAAGAUUGACGUAAUGAUUAAUAGGGAUAUUGGGGGCAUUAGUAUUCAAUUGUCAGAGGUGAAAUUCUUGGAUCGAUUGAAGACUAACUACUGCGAAAGCAUUUGCCAAGGAUGUUUUCAUUUAUCAGGAACGAAAGUUAGGGGAUCGAAGACGAUCAGAUACCGUCGUAGUCUUAACCAUAAACUAUGCCGACUAGGGAUUGGACGGUGUUAUAUCUUGACCCGUUCGGCGCCUUACGGGAAAC
rnacentral:rRNA from 2 species